CCCUUAGAUGUCCGGGGCCGCACGCGCGCUACACUGAAGGAAUCAGCGUGGCUUUCUCCCUGACCCGAAAGGGUUGGGAAACCCGUUGAAUCUCCUUCGUGAUAGGGAUUGGGGCUUGAAAUUGUUCCCCAUGAACGAGGAAUUCCCAGUAAGCGCGAGUCAUAAGCUUGCGUUGAUUACGUCCCUGCCCUUUGUACACACCGCCCGUCGCUACUACCGAUUGAACGGUUUAGUGAGGGCCUCGGAUUGGUCUCGGCCCGCUCUUUACCGGGCGGCGCCGUUGGUCGAGAAGACGCUCGAACUUGAUCGUUUAGAGGAAGUAAAAGUCGUAACA
rnacentral:rRNA from 1 species